rnacentral:rRNA from 1 species
UAGGGAAUCUUCCGCAAUGGACGCAAGUCUGACGGAGCAACGCCGCGUGAGUGAAGAAGGAUUUCGGUUCGUAAAACUCUGUUGUUAGAGAAGAACAGCGCAUAGAGUAACUGUUAUGCGUGUGACGGUAUCUAACCAGAAAGCCACGGCUAACUACGUGCCAGCAGCCGCGGUAAUACGUAGGUGGCAAGCGUUGUCCGGAUUUAUUGGGCGUAAAGCGAGCGCAGGCGGUCAAUUAAGUCUGAUGUGAAAGCCCACGGCUCAACCGGGGAGGGUCAUUGGAAACUGGUUGACUUGCGUGCAGAAGAGGAGAGUGGAAUUCCAUGUGUCGCGGUGAAAUGCGUAGAUAUAUGGAGGAACACCAGUGGCGAAGGCGACUCUCUGGUCUGUAACUGACACUGAGGCUAGAAAGCGUGGGUAGCAAACAGG